rnacentral:tRNA from 1 species
GGGUAUAUAGCUCAGUGGUAGAGCACAUGCUUAGCAUGCAUAAGGUCCUGGGUUCAAUCCUCAGUACCUCCA